UACGUAGGGGGCUAGCGUUGUCCGGAAUUACUGGGCGUAAAGGGCUCGUAGGCGGCCAACUAAGUCAGACGUGAAAUCCCUCAGCUUAACUGGGGAACUGCGUCUGAUACUGGAUGGCUUGGAUUCGGGAGAGGAAUGCGGAAUUCCAGGUGUAGCGGUGGAAUGCGUAGAGAUCCGGAAGAACACCAGUGGCGAAGGCGGUCUGCUGGGCAGUUGCUGACACUGAUGCGCGACAGCGUGGGGAGCAAACAGG
rnacentral:rRNA from 1 species